UACGUAGGGUGCGAGCGUUAAUCGGAAUUACUGGGCGUAAAGCGUGCGCAGGCGGUUAUGUAAAGACAGUUUGUGAAAUCCCCCGGGCUCAACCUGGGAAUUGCAUCUGUGACUGCAUAGCUAGAGUACGGUAGAGGGGGAUGGAAUUCCGCGUGUAGCAGUGAAAUGCGUAGAUAUGCGGAGGAACACCGAUGGCGAAGGCAAUCCCCUGGACCUGUACUGACGCUCCAUGCACGAAAGCGUGGGGAGCAAACAGG
rnacentral:rRNA from 1 species